rnacentral:tRNA from 1 species
GCGAAUAGUUUAGUGGUAAAACUCUGAUCUCCAAAAUCAUAGAUGUGGGUUCGAUUCCUACUUCG